rnacentral:sRNA from 1 species
UCAAUGCAUUGAAAGUGA